rnacentral:tRNA from 1 species
GCAUCGGUGGUUUAGUGGUAAAAUUAGCCGUUGCCAUGUGCAACUUCGGCUAGCCCCGGGUUCGAUUCCCGGCCGAUGCA